rnacentral:rRNA from 1 species
UACAGAGGGUGCAAGCGUUGUUCGGAAUUAUUGGGCGUAAAGCGCGUGUAGGCGGCUUGGCAAGUCGGGUGUGAAAUCCCUCAGCUUAACUGAGGAAGUGCGCCCGAAACUGCUUGGCUUGAGUACCGGAGAGGGUGGCGGAAUUCCCGAAGUAGAGGUGAAAUUCGUAGAUAUCGGGAGGAACACCGGUGGCGAAGGCGGCCACCUGGACGGAUACUGACGCUGAGGCGCGAAAGCUAGGGGAGCGAACGGG